UACAGAGGUCCCAAGCGUUGUUCGGAUUUACUGGGCGUAAAGGGUGCGUAGGUGGCGAGGUAAGUUUGAUGUGAAAUCUCCGGGCUCAACUCGGAAAUGGCAUUGAAUACUAUCCCGCUUGAGGGUCGGAGGGGAGACUGGAAUUCUCGGUGUAGCAGUGAAAUGCGUAGAUAUCGAGAGGAACACCAGUGGCGAAGGCGAGUCUCUGGACGACUCCUGACACUGAGGCACGAAAGCUGGGGGAGCAAACAGG
rnacentral:rRNA from 1 species